GACGAACGCUGGCGGCGUGCCUAAUACAUGCAAGUCGAGCGAAUCGAUGGGAGCUUGCUCCCUGAGAUUAGCGGCGGACGGGUGAGUAACACGUGGGUAACCUGCCUGUAAGACUGGGAUAACUUCGGGAAACCGGAGCUAAUACCGGAUACUUUCUUUUCUCGCAUGAGGGAAGAUGGAAAGAUGGUUCUGCUAUCACUUACAGAUGGACCCGCGGCGCAUUAGCUAGUUGGUGAGGUAACGGCUCACCAAGGCAACGAUGCGUAGCCGACCUGAGGGGGUGAUCGGCCACCCUGGGACUGAGACACGGCCCAGACUCCUACGGGAGGCAGCAGUAGGGAAUCUUCCGCAAGGGGCGAAAGUCUAACGGAGAAACGCCGCGUGAGCGAGGAAGGCCUUCGGGUCGUAAAGCUCUGUUGUUAGGGAAGAACAAGUACGAGAGUAACUGCUCGUACCUUGACGGUACCUAACCAGAAAGCCACGGCUAACUACGUGCCAGCAGCCGCCGUAACAC
rnacentral:rRNA from 1 species